CGCUCCGUUGCGUCGGUUGCACCACCUUAUCCCUUUUCCCUGUGUUCCUGAAGUCCUCCCUUAAGAGGCACAACAGCCAUUCUCCACAUGCCUGGAAGCAUGAAAAAAUCCUUGAACAUAUUGAUGAACCAGGAGUGCAGUAGCUGGAGCAUAUGUCUGCAUAUUCGACACAAAUAACUGGAAUAACUUCUGCCAAGUCAAUGCCAACAUUAUCGGCAACCGAAGCUCGCCGGGAAAGGGGGGCGUGCCAUGGCCCGAGCAGAAGUUGGGACACGACAGUCGUGGUGCCGGCCAUUAGAUGAAACCUUGUCCAAGGCCAGCAGGAGGAGGAGGAGGAUGAGGAUGAGGUGGAACUGAACCGAAGCCAAUGAACCAAGGCAGAGGAAGUGGCUCCAGUUGUCUGCCAAUUGCUUAGACAUUCCUGGUUCUCACCCAAGGCCGCAUAUGGUACUGCACAGUGGGAACUGUAUAUCCCAGUAGGUUUUUCCAUUUCAGUUAAUAUUUCUAAACCUUUACCAUGUUUUAGACACGUUUGGUGUUACUUUCCAGGGCAGUGCAGAAGCUGUGCCCGGCUGCUUCAAAUAGUUAACCCUCAGCCAUGCCGACGAUUCCCGAUUCCGAUUUCCACCCACUUCGUCCCAGUUCCCUCCAGGGUUUGGAGCUCUUCUACAUACCGCUUUAUUAUGGAGUUAAGGUAACAUCAAGCUUGCUAUCAGCCAUCAGUAGCUUCCUCUACUGCCUUUGGUCGCCGCCCUUGAGGAGAUCCAGUUAAAGGACUUAGAAAAUGCCUGAGAUGCAAGCAGAGAAGCCUUAGCAUGGAAAGGUUUAAGAAGCCAGACUUGGACGCCAAAGGAAUUCGAAGCCAUGGACGGACUGCGGACAGCUGAAGAAGAUGUUAACCCAAGCGGAUGCAGAACCCGAUGAGAAACAGACACUGAGAGGGACACAGAGUGCGAGACGCAGGAAGGGGCAAGGAGCCACGACCAGGACCAGUCUGGAGACGAUAUAUCUGGGAGUGAAGCGGGCAAGGAGAUGAGGGAGCCGGGGGUGCCACAAGAUGGGGCAGCAUGAACAGCAGCGUAAACAAAACGACCAUCAGAGCUGGAGGAAUGGAAAAACAAUUCACUAAAAGAAAUUUCUUUUAAAAAAUAAUUUUUGUCUUUUAAUAAAUGGUUUUGUCUCUUUUCUUGGA